CCCAUAGCUCCUUCAGAUCAUCGAUUAAAAAUCGUAGAUAUACAUCAAUUUCAUUACCUAUUGCUUUCGGAUCCGAAAUCAACAGUGACCUAAAAAUAAAUGAUUCUUUCAUGCACUUUCAAGGUGACACAUUAUAUACAACUAGCAUCACAGGCCAUAUGCUGUAAGAGGUACUCAGAUUGCCAAAGAAAUUAAAUCCAUCUGUCACUAGACCA
rnacentral:lncRNA from 1 species